rnacentral:rRNA from 1 species
CGCCGUUCGCCGAGCCCGACUCAGAAACUUAAAGGGAAUUAGACGGGGGCCCGGCACAAGCGGAGGAGCAUGUGGUUUAAUUCGAUGAUACGCGAGGAACCUUACCUGGGCUCGAACGUAAGAUGACUGUAGGUGAAAGCUUACAUCUCUUCGGAGCAUUUUACGAGGUGCUGCAUGGUUGUCGUCAGCUCGUGCCGUGAGGUGUCGGGUUAAGUCCCAUAACGAGCGCAACCCCUACCUUUAGUUGCCAUCAGGUUAAGCUGGGGACUCUAAAGGAACUGCCUACGCAAGUAGUGAGGAAGGCGGGGAUGACGUCAAAUCAGCACGGCCCUUACGUCCAGGGCUACACACGUGCUACAAUGGCCGAUACAGAGGGCAGCUACCUGGUGACAGGAUGCAAAUCUCCAAAGUCGGUCUCAGUUCGGAUCGGAGUCUGCAACCCGACUCCGUGAAGUUGGAUUCGCUAGUAAUCGCGCAUCAGCCAUGGCGCGGUGAAUACGUUCCCGGGCCUU